GGCUCGUUGGUCAAGCGGCUAAGACACGGCCCUCUCAAGGCUGAAACAUGGGUUCGAUUCCCGUACGAGUCACCA
rnacentral:tRNA from 1 species